rnacentral:lncRNA from 1 species
CACAAUGCUCAUUACAUUUGUACAAUUAAUCACAGAUCAAGUUUCAGUAUUCUAGUUAUGUCCCUUUAUAAUGUUAUAUGCAAGCAGGGGCAUCAUGUGUGUCCUAUGAUCACAUUCUCCAUUAAUUUAUUUCUCAUUUCAGCUUCAGAAACUAUUGUUUUCAGCAACUCUUUCACAAAAUCCUGAUAAACUACAACAGCUUAACCUUUUUCAAC